rnacentral:rRNA from 1 species
CGUGAAAUUCCGUCGGAAUCUGGGAGGACCAUCUCCUAAGGCUAAAUACUCUCUAGUGACCGAUAGUGAACCAGUACCGUGAGGGAAAGGUGAAAAGCACCCCGGAAGGGGAGUGAAAUAGAACCUGAAACCGUGUGCUUACAAGUAGUCAGAGCCCGUUAAUGGGUGAUGGCGUGCCUUUUGUAGAAUGAACCGGCGAGUUACGAUUUGAUGCAAGGUUAAGCAGUAAAUGUGGAGCCGUAGCGAAAGCGAGUCUGAAUAGGGCGUUUAGUAUUUGGUCGUAGACCCGAAACCAGGUGAUCUACCCUUGGUCAGGUUGAAGUUCAGGUAACACUGAAUGGAGGACCGAACCGACUUACGUUGAAAAGUGAGCGGAUGAACUGAUGGUAGCGGAGAAAUUCCAAUCGAACCUGGAGAUAGCUGGUUCUCUCCGAAAUAGCUUUAGGGCUAGCCUCAAGUGAUGAUUAUUGGAGGUAGAGCACUGUUUGGACGAGGGGCCCCUCUCGGGUUACCGAAUUCAGACAAACUCCGAAUGCCAAUUAAUUUAACUUGGGAGUCAGAACAUGGGUGAUAAGGUCCGUGUUCGAAAGGGAAACAGCCCAGACCACCAGCUAAGGUCCCAAAAUAUAUGUUAAGUGGAAAAGGAUGUGGCGUUGCCCAGACAACUAGGAUGUUGGCUUAGAAGCAGCCAUCAUUUAAAGAGUGCGUAAUAGCUCACUAGUCGAGUGACACUGCGCCGAAAAUGUACCGGGGCUAAACAUAUUACCGAAGCUGUGGAUUGUCCUUUGGACAAUGGUAGGAGAGCGUUCUAAGGGCGUUGAAG